AUUGGUGUUAUUGACUCUUGACAAUCAUAUAAUUGUUAACUUUUUAUAUAUAAUAUUUUAGGCAUUUAUGAACUAUUUAUUUAUUUUUUGAUUCUUUUUUUUAUUAUUUUCUUUAUUUACAUUUCAAAUGCUAUCCUGAAAGUUCCCUAUACCCUCCCCCCGCCCUGCUCCCCUCCCCACUCACUCCCACUUCUUGGCCCUGGCAUUCCCCUGUACUGGGGCAUAUAAAGUUUGUAAGACCAAGGGCCUCUCCUCCCAAUGAUGACCGACUAGGCCAUCUUCUUCUACAUAUGCAGCUAGAGACACGAGCUUUGAGGGUACUGGUUAGUUCAUAUUGUUGUUCCACCUAUAGGGUUGCAGACCCCUUCAGUUCCUUGGGCGCUUUCUCUAGCUUCUCAAUUGGGGGCCCCAUGUUCCAUCUUGUACAUGACUGUGAGCAUCCACCUCUGUAUUUGCCAGGCACUGGCAUAGCCUCAUACAAGACAGCUAUAUCAGGGUCCCUUCAGCAAAAUCUUGCUGGUAUAUGCAAUAGUGUCUGUGUUUGGUGGCUGAUUAUGGGAUGGAUCUCCAAGUGGGGUAGUCUCUGGAUAGUCCAUCCUUUUGUCUUAGCUCCAAACUUUGUCUCCAUAACUCCUUUCAUCGUUAUUUUGUUCCCUAUUCUAAGGAGGAAUGAAGUAUCCACAUGUUGGUCUUCCCUCUUGAUUUUCUUGUGUUUUGCAAAUUGUAUCUUGGGUAUUCUUAGUUUCUGGGCUAAUAUCCACUUAUCAGUGAGUGCAUAUCUAAUGACUUCUUUUGUGAUUGGAUUACCUCACUCAGGAUGAUAUCCUCCAGAUACAGCCAUUUCCCCAAAAUUUCAUAAAUUCAUUGUUUUUAACUAUUUAUAAUUGAUUGUGAAAGCUAUUAUUUACUACUUGCAUAUGUGUACCAUGUUUUCUUCCAGUAUUUCUAUUAAAUUUUUAUAUUAUAAAUAUUGA
rnacentral:lncRNA from 1 species